rnacentral:lncRNA from 1 species
CGGCACACAAAAUGGCGGCCGGCCGGCCCGGGGCACCGAGGUGGGGGUGGCCCGGGCCCGAGCGGCGCCCGCCGCGGUGCAGCGCCCCCCGCAGGCAGGGGACGGCGCCGCAUGGCGGGGAGGAGGGGGGAAGUUGGGGUGCCCCUGGAGGGGGCUGUUACGGGGCUUGGGGUAGCUCGAAGGUGUGUUGAGGUGGCUCGUGUCCCCCCCCCACCCCGGGGCCUUUUGGGGGUGCCCUGGGGCAUCUGGGAGGUCUAUGGGGGUGGCUGGGGCACUCUGGGUGUCCCUUGGGGUGCCCUGGGGCGCCUAGGGGGUGUUUUGGGGGGCCCUGGAUGUCCACUGGGGCUCCUUGGGGCACUUAGAAGACACACUGGAGUGGCCAGGGGUAUCCUGGGGGUCCAUUGGGGCUCCCUGGGGUGUUUGGAAGGCACAUUGAGGUGGCCAGGGGGUCCAUUGGGGUGCCCUGGGCACUUGGAAGGUACAUUGGGGUGGCCAGAGGUGUUCUGGGGGUCCAUUGGGGUGUCCUGGGACACUUGGAAGGUACAUUGGGGUAGCCAGGGGUGUCCUGGGGGUCCAUUGGGGUGUCCUGGGGCACUUGGAAGGUACAUUGAGGUGGCCAGGGGGUCCAUUGGGAUGUCCUGUGGCACCUGGAAAAUAUAAUGGGGUGACCAAGGUUGUCCUGGGUGUCCGUUGAGGUGCUCCAAGGUGCCCAAGAGAUGCACUGCGGUGGCCGGGAUGCCCUGGGGGGCGGCUGGGACACCUUGGAAAGUCCCUUGGAGUGGCCAGGGGGUCCUUUAGGGUGCCCUGGAAGGUCCCUUCGUGUGGCUGGGGUGUCCUGGGGGUCCUUCGGGGUGCCCUAGGGUGGGUAGGGGGUCUCUGAGGGUGCACUGAGGUGGGCAGGGGUCUCCUG